rnacentral:rRNA from 1 species
GGGACACGUGGUAUCCUGUCUGAAUAUGGGGGGACCAUCCUCCAAGGCUAAAUACUCCUGACUGACCGAUAGUGAACCAGUACCGUGAGGGAAAGGCGAAAAGAACCCCGGCGAGGGGAGUGAAAAAGAACCUGAAACCGUGUACGUACAAGCAGUGGGAGCCCUGAUUUAUCAGGGUGACUGCGUACCUUUUGUAUAAUGGGUCAGCGACUUAUAUUCUGUAGCAAGGUUAACCGAAUAGGGGAGCCGGAGGGAAACCGAGUCUUAACUGGGCGUUAAGUUGCAGGGUAUAGACCCGAAACCCGGUGAUCUAGCCAUGGGCAGGUUGAAGGUUGGGUAACACUAACUGGAGGACCGAACCGACUAAUGUUGAAAAAUUAGCGGAUGACUUGUGGCUGGGGGUGAAAGGCCAAUCAAACCGGGAGAUAGCUGGUUCUCCCCGAAAGCUAUUUAGGUAGCGCCUCGUGAAUUCAUCUCCGGGGGUAGAGCACUGUUUCGGCAAGGGGGUCAUCCCGACUUACCAACCCGAUGCAAACUGCGAAUACCGGAGAAUGUUAUCACGGGAGACACACGGCGGGUGCUAACGUCCGUCGUGAAGAGGGAAACAACCCAGACCGCCAGCUAAGGUCCCAAAGUCAUGGUUAAGUGGGAAACGAUGUGGGAAGGCCCAGACAGCCAGGAUGUUGGCUUAGAAGCAGCCAUCAUUUAAAGAAAGCGUAAUAGCUCACUGGUCGAGUCGGCCUGCGCGGAAGAUGUAACGGGGCUAAACCAUGCACCGAAGCUGCGGCAGCGACGCUGAUGCGUUGUUGGGUAGGGGAGCGUUCUGUAAGCCUGUGAAGGUGUGCUGUGAGGUAUGCUGGAGGUAUCAGAAGUGCGAAUGCUGACAUAAGUAACGAUAAAGCGGGUGAAAAGCCCGCUCGCCGGAAGACCAAGGGUUCCUGUCCAACGUUAAUCGGGGCAGGGUGAGUCGACCCCUAAGGCGAGGCCGAAAGGCGUAGUCGAUGGGAAACAGGUUAAUAUUCCUGUACUUGGUGUUACUGCGAAGGGGGGACGGAGAAGGCUAUGUUGGCCGGGCGACGGUUGUCCCGGUUUAAGCGUGUAGGCUGGUUUUCCAGGCAAAUCCGGAGAAUCAAGGCUGAGGCGUGAUGACGAGGCACUACGGUGCUGAAGCAACAAAUGCCCUGCUUCCAGGAAAAGCCUCUAAGCAUCAGGUAACAUCAAAUCGUACCCCAAACCGACACAGGUGGU